rnacentral:rRNA from 1 species
GACGUAGGGGGCAAGCGUUGUUCGGAAUUAUUGGGCGUAAAGCGCUCGUAGGCGGGACUGGAAGUCCGUGUUGAAAGACCUCGGCUCAACUGAGGGACCGGCUCGGAUACUCUAGUUCUUGAGGCAAUCAGAGGGUGAUGGAAUUCCCGGUGUAGCGGUGAAAUGCGUAGAUAUUGGGAAGAACACCGGUGGCGAAGGCGGCUCACUGGCUCGUAACUGACGCUCAUGCACGACAGCGUGGGGAUCAAACAGG